UUUAACAUAGCCCUGUCCUUAGGGAGCUCUGAAUUUGGUAAAGAAGCAAAACAAGUCAAUCAGCCAUCACGAAGUGCUGCUGUCAGCAAGGUCUCCAUGGCGUGUGGGAGGACACAAAGGAGAGGCAUCUAAAUUAAGCUGGAGUCAAGAUGGAGAAACUACAGCCCAGAGAGGGGAGUGAUUUUCCCGUUGUUGCACAUCUCAUUAGUGAAGAUGUUAAAGAAGAGUGUCACAUGGAGGAAGAAGGAAACUGAAUCUCUGUGUCUCCAGAAGGCAGUUCUAGGACCAGUGCAUGGGAAUUUCAGGGAACAGAUAUGGGUUCAUGUUAAGGAAAAUCUUGCUAAGUGAGCUGCUCAAUGCUGCUUUUAAAGAUGAGCAAACUGAGUCUCAGUUGCUAUGUCCAGCAUCACAGUAGGUACUAAGUAAAUGGAGGCACCAAGAUAUCCACUCAGGUUUGACUUCAAGUCCAUGCUAUAGAAUCACAAAGGACAGCAAUGCUCAUAUCAUGAUGGAUCAGCCUCUCAGAGGAAAACUCUGAAAGCAGGGUCUGGCUCUAUAGCCCAUGCUGGAGUGCAGUGGUG